GUGAACAGCAGGGGCUGAAUAUCCAUCAUUCUGUGGCUAGGGAUCAUGGAAACAGCACCCUCCGAGCACACUGCUCAUCAGCAGGAAGCCCUGAAGCUGCUAGAAUGGGAACGUGUGAAGUUCCUGGUACACAGGCAGCUGUGUCGGUCUGGGUAAGCUUGGCAGUGCCAAGGGUGGAAAGUGAAGCUGAAAAAGGGGAAUUAGUGGCCCCAUAUCUGCUGUGUGGAUCUGGGAGUGGUGAAGGGAUGUGAGCUUGAGGGAGCUGUACAAAUGAGCCUAUCUCCUGGGUGGUAAUGUCUAUACAGCAAGGAAUUAUUUUCUCUCCCACAGUGUUGUUAUGGAUCGUUCUCUUCCCUAUGUGAGAUGAAGCAGUGGGCUGAUUUUUCUUCCCCUGUGCAACCAAAGGAGGCCCAGGGCCUUUUGUUCCUCCUAAAAUGUUUCCCUAUCAGACUCAAGGCAUGCUGGAAAUGCUGAACAGCAGAGCAGACCCAGAUCAUUCAAUGCAGUGUUAAGCUCUGCUUUAGUCCGGAUCAUGACUUUCCAGUUUAAGGAACCGUUUGAAGAGUUUUAAGUCCUGCAUUUCCCCACCCUGACCAGAAAUUUGGUGCACCCACAUCAGCAGAAGCGUGCUGUCAGCUCAGCCAGCAGCUGUGGGGCGCUGCUGCUCGCCCUGUCGUUUCUCAGGGCUGUGACACAGCCGGGAAACGGCUGCACCGCGCUCCUCGGAUACAGCUCGGACCAGAAGUGGGCGGCUCCUUCCCCAGCCUUCCCAGGCGGAGGCAGAGCGGCAUCUAGGAGAAAACUUUCUGUGUUCGUUUCUAAAAAAGAACACAUUUAUUUAAAACGGCACGGCCGCCGCGGGGCUCUCAUAUGCGUUAAGGAGGACGGGGGAGGGGGGACCGCCCGGGGCGGCACAGCGCCGCGGCCCCGUCAAAACUCGAAGGUGCCGAAGUGCGCGGCGCGGACGCCGGCUUUGGGCUGGGGCUUGUAGCCGAUGCGGUCGUUGAUGAUCUGCUCGCGGCUCUUGUGCUCGGCGCCCAGCGCGAUGCCCGCCGCCUCCUCGCCGGCCGCCACCUCCGACUCCUCCCGCUGCUUCUUGCGGCUCUCCAGGUCCUUCCGGACGCCUUCGAACUCCUCGAUGUCGUCCAGCUUCAGCUCCAGCCGCGUCGGCUUCCGCCGCAGCAUCACUCCACCGCCGCCGUCUCCCGACCUGCGCCGCGCGGCGCCCCGCCCC
rnacentral:lncRNA from 1 species